AGAAGGCGUUUAAUGGAACGUUGG
rnacentral:siRNA from 1 species